rnacentral:lncRNA from 1 species
AAUACUAGAAUUUUCAUCAGUACAUAUAGAAAAAAAAUCGAAUGUUGGAACUUCUAAAAGAAAUGAUUUCUUAUCUUGCGAAAAUCUAAAAGAAUAUUUUGACCAUUAUGAGUCAUCGAUUUUGUACAAUGAAUACUCUUAUGACCAAAAGCCUAAUGAGUAUAAGCAUAACCCAACUUUAAAAAAAGUUUUUCUGCAUGUUUUUCUAACCAAGUAAUUAUGCACUAAACAAGUGGAUUGACAUAAAAUAGUAACAAAUUUAUUGUCUCAAAAAAUAACUAUAAUCAUGCACUGAAAAACAACCUUUUGUCAACAAAAGAAUGGCACAAAUUUCCAUUGAUAAAGUAUAAGAGAUGCAAAAUGUUAUUCUCAACAAGCUUGCAGAAAUAAAAGUUCUUUUAAAAGAAGUUAUAGAAAUUAAGUUUCAGGCUACUGGGGUGAAGUUGCUAGAAUCAGUGGACGAAGUGGUUACACUGGAUAAUAAACUAAAAGAUAAAACCGAGUAUACUAAUUUGGUAUAAUCUAAUUAUCUUAAUUUUUAAUAAGUUUGUUUAAAUUUGGUUUACUAGUUUAGAAUCUAAAUGAAAAGUAUUUGUAAAUGAACUAAAAUAACUAGCUUAUGUUAGACUCAAUAUGUUGCAUUUUAUUUUCAAAUUUAAUGUUUUUACUUUUCAUAAUUUUAAGCAUUCAUAUAUUAAAAUAUAUUUUAAUUUAUUACAUAUAUUAAAAUAAAAAUCUUUAUAAAUAUAUUUCAGUUUAUUGUUAAAAUAUUUAUCAGGUUAUUUUCGAAUCAGUUACAGUCCAAAUUUAAUCGAAAAGGAAAUGGGGAAAAGAUAAGCUUAGAAAAUAUAGUAAAUAUAUGAAGUGUUUUACGAGAUAUCGGCGACAUGGAAGAAAAUGUUGACGGCAAUGCAGAAAUAUAGUUUCUUAUGUAUAUUUUUGUGAAAUAAAAAUUAAGUAAUGUUAGUUAAAA